CACUUUUCCGCGAGGAACGCCUACAAGCUUUGAAAGUGGUGGGCUUCCGUGGUGUUUGUCGGGAAGAUUAACUUUGUGUUCCGUAGAUUCCAGUUUGGGAAACAGUAUGUCUGCCCGGUACUUAGAAGAGAUAAUCGAUGUCCCCUCCCUCGUGCCAGCUUUCCAUGUGGAACUCUGAGAUGAGCCACAAUGAGUAAAGAGUUCUUUUGACAAACAGAAGCAUCCAUGCCCCCUUCCAGCCCUGUGCCUUCCACCCUGAAUCAUCCCCCCACCGCCACUGUGUGGUCAGAGCCCAGGAGC